rfam:Marine metagenome HOTS_Contig4477, whole genome shotgun sequence.
AGAGCCCCACAGCGAAAGUCUAGCGAACUACGUUGACCUCGAGUCAUGCGCCGGCGGUGGCGACAUCGCGGGUGAAGCGUUGACAGAGGCACUGGCGGGCCGAUUAUCGAGCCGCGAAAUACCUCUUUUCGGGCGCCGACCCUGUGGACAGAAGGGGAAGGCCACAUCGACUGUCGCGUUAGCGCGAGCGGCAGCCGAGCCCGGCGCGGUCGCGGGAACCC